GAUGAACGCUGGCGGCGUGCCUAAUACAUGCAAGUCGAGCGAACAGAUAAGGAGCUUGCUCCUUUGACGUUAGCGGCGGACGGGUGAGUAACACGUGGGUAACCUACCUAUAAGACUGGGAUAACUUCGGGAAACCGGAGCUAAUACCGGAUAACAUUUGGAACCGCAUGGUUCUAAAGUGAAAGAUGGUUUUGCUAUCACUUAUAGAUGGACCCGCGCCGUAUUAGCUAGUUGGUAAGGUAACGGCUUACCAAGGCGACGAUACGUAGCCGACCUGAGAGGGUGAUCGGCCACACUGGAACUGAGACACGGUCCAGACUCUACGGGAGGCAGCAGUAGGGAAUCUUCCGCAAUGGGCGAAAGCCUGACGGAGCAACGCCGCGUGAGUGAUGAAGGGUUUCGGCUCGUAAAACUCUGUUAUUAGGGAAGAACAAACGUGUAAGUAACUGUGCACGUCUUGACGGUACCUAAUCAGAAAGCCACGGCUAACUACGUG
rnacentral:rRNA from 1 species